UAGUCAUAUGCUUGUCCCAAAGAUUAAGCCAUGCAUGUUUACGUUCAAGCCCAUUAACGUGAAACUGCCAAAGGGUCCUUAAAUCCAUUAUAUAUUUACUUGAGGAGCAACCUUAUCAUUGUAUACCCGUGAGUUUUCUAGAUCUAAUACAUGCAACAAACCUGACCCGAGGAUGGCUGUAUUUAUUGUAUACAAAACUGAUGUCUCUGAUGCCUUCGGCGAUUCACAAUAACUAUACCGAUCGUAAGGCCUUGAUCUGACCAACUUUCCUUCGAAUUUCCGCCCUAUCCACUUGCGAAGGGACGGAAAAGGCCUACCCUGGUGAUAACCGGUAACCGGGAAUCCGGGUUCUAUUCCCGAAAAGGAACCUGAAAAAUGGCUACCCCCUCCCAGGAUGGCAGCAGGCGCGCAAAUUACCCAAUGCCGACGCGGCGAGGUAGUGACAGAAAAUAACGAUGCCGGGCCGUGAGGCUUUCUCGCUUGUGAAUGAGAACAAUCUAUAUCGCUUAUCAAGUAACCAUUGGAGGGCAAGUCUGGU
rnacentral:rRNA from 1 species